AGCCUGAAUCAGUGUGUGUGUUAGUGGAAGCGUCUGGAAAGGCGCGCGAUACAGGGUGACAGCCCCGUACACAAAAAUGCACAUGCUGUGAGCUCGAUGAGUAGGGCGGGACACGUGGUAUCCUGUCUGAAUAUGGGGGGACCAUCCUCCAAGGCUAAAUACUCCUGACUGACCGAUAGUGAACCAGUACCGUGAGGGAAAGGCGAAAAGAACCCCGGCGAGGGGAGUGAAAAAGAACCUGAAACCGUGUACGUACAAGCAGUGGGAGCACAGAGCAAUCUGUGUGACUGCGUACCUUUUGUAUAAUGGGUCAGCGACUUAUAUUCUGUAGCAAGGUUAACCGAAUAGGGGAGCCGAAGGGAAACCGAGUCUUAAC
rnacentral:rRNA from 1 species